GUUCAAAUAAACAAAUGACAAUGAUUUCGAUAAAUUGAAAGAAAAUAUUUUAACUUAUAAAAUUUUGAAUAUAUAAAAUCAUAAACUCAUAAAAUCGUGUUGUUUUUAUUUAAAUUUUACUAUUAAAAUUGUGAUUUUACCUAGAUUUUACUUUAUUUCAAUUUUACAUAUGUUUUGAUUCGUUUUGAUGAUUCUAACUCAUAAAAUCGUAAUAUGUGUCAACUUGCGAUUUUAACAACUAUGAUCAUCAUAAUAAUUUUAGGAAACAGCACACAAAUUAGGCAUCCUUAUCCAGUAUAUUGCUAUAAGUGGCAUUCCCAAAUAUAAGAGAAUGGCAUCCUCCAUCCAAAGCCAUUGAA
rnacentral:misc_RNA from 1 species